rnacentral:rRNA from 1 species
AGUAGUCAUACGCUUGUCUCAAAGAUUAAGCCAUGCAUGUGUAAGUAUAAAUAGUUAACUUUGAAACUGCGAAUGGCUCAUUAUAUCAGUUAUAGUUUAUUUGAUGAAGAAUACUAAUUGGAUAACCGUAGUAAUUCUAGAGCUAAUACAUGUAUAAAGUCUUGUAGACUGCAUUUAUUAGAAUGAAAACCAUAGGUUUCGGCCUAUUCGUGAGUAAUAAUAACUAAUCAUAUCGUAUGCUUAAGUAACGAUGUGUCUUUCAAGUUUCGGCCCUAUCAGCUUUCGAUGGUAGUGUAUUGGACUACCAUGGCAGUAACGGGUAACGAAGAA